rnacentral:rRNA from 1 species
UACGGAGGGGGCAAGCGUUGUUCGGAUUUACUGGGCGUAAAGGGUGUGUAGGCGGCUGCGCAAGUCUGGUGUGAAAUCUUCACCGCUUAACGGGAAGAGGGCACUGGAAACUGCGUAGCUCGAGUAUGGUAGAGGCAAGCGGAAUUCCUGGUGUAGCGGUGGAAUGCGCAGAUAUCAGGAGGAACACCGAUGGCGAAGGCAGGUCUCUGGGCAUUAACUGACGCUGAGGAGCGAAAGCAUGGGGAGCGAACAGG